UAUGAGAGUUUGAUCCUGGCUCAGGAUGAACGCUGGCGGCGUGCCUAAUACAUGCAAGUCGUACGCUUCUUUUUCCACCGGAGCUUGCUCCACCGGAAAAAGAAGAGUGGCGAACGGGUGAGUAACACGUGGGUAACCUGCCCAUCAGAAGGGGAUAACACUUGGAAACAGGUGCUAAUAC
rnacentral:rRNA from 1 species